rnacentral:rRNA from 1 species
CAGUAGCCGCGGGAAUACGUAGGGUGCGAGCGUUGUCCGGAAUUAUUGGGCGUAAAGAGCUUGUAGGCGGUCUGUCGCGUCUGCUGUGAAAACCCGAGGCUCAACCUCGGGCCUGCAGUGGGUACGGGCAGACUAGAGUGCGGUAGGGGAGAACGGAACUCUUGGUGUAGCGGUGGAAUGCGCAGAUAUCAGGAAGAACACCGAUGGCGAAGGCAGUUCUCUGGGCCGUAACUGACGCUGAGAAGCGAAAGCGUGGGGAGCGAACAGGAUUAGAUACCCCAGUAGUCCCUGUCUCUUAUAC